CGCCGGGGCUCCGCAGCCCUCAGGCUUCUGGGGAGAACUGGGGAGACCCCGCUGCGGCGUGCGCCGCCGUCUCCCGCCCCCCACCUUCCAGGGCUCGGCGCCACACCCCCUUGCCGCAGGGCAGAGAGGGCACCUCCGGUGAACCCAGUGCCUCCUUCCCCAAUCCUCUUCCCAUCUCUAAGGUUGACUCGUGCCCUGCACGUGAGCUUGAGGUUGCACCCUUUCCCUCCUUGCCUUGGCAGACCUCUGGCCUGCGAAGCUAGAGUCUGGCUCCUCCCGUAUUUUCUUUGCCCGGCACAGAAAGGAUGUCGCUUCCCACCACUCCCCUACAAUUUGUUUGCAUUAACUCUCCAUCUGCUUCCGAGCCUACUUUGCGCUCUUAACUAUGCAUAUCUGGUGCCAAAACAGCGCUCUAAUCAGAGAAUGAAUCCUAGCUGCGGUGAGCCUUCUUGUGGGAAUCCACUGACAUCAUGUAGAAAGUUCGGGAAACUUUGUAACAGAAAUGUCAACCUGUGGAGGCAUCUGUGGAGCACGGUUCCUAGUCUCACGGGGUCUCUCUGUAUAACAGCCCUGGCUGGCCUGGAACCCAUUUUGAAUCAAGACUAGCCUCAAAUUCACGGAGAUCUGCCUGCCUCUGCCUCCUGAGUGCUAGGAUUAAAGGGGUGCACCACCACACCAGAAGGGCCCAGGCCAGGUGCCACCCCUGGGCAGAUGGUCCUGGAUGAUUUAAGAAAACCAGCUGCCCAAGCCAUGGAGAAGAAGCCAGCAAGCUAUACUCUUCCAUGGCCCCAGCCUCAGUUCCUGCCUCCAGGUUCCUGCUUUGAGACCCUGCCCUGACU